UCAAACUUGGUCAUUUAGAGGAAGUAAAAGUCGUAACAAGGUUUCCGUAGGUGAACCUGCGGAAGGAUCAUUACUGAAGUUAAUGUAUAGUUUUCUGGAUCUAUUCCUGAAAACUAUCUAUCCUUCUUUAUAUAAACCCACUGUGAAAAAAAUCUAUCGGACGGUACUAGGUUUACUGGUCGAGAGCAAAUCAGAUUUGGUUUUGGUCGCUCGAAUUACCUUUUUUAAUUCAAAAGAUGAAGAGAAUGGCAAGAAAUUUGAUAAACAAGUUAAAACUUUCAGUGACGGAUCUCUUGGCUCUCGCAUCGAUGAAGAACGCAGC
rnacentral:misc_RNA from 1 species